rnacentral:rRNA from 1 species
GAUGAACGCUGGCGGCGUGCCUAAUACAUGCAAGUCGAGCGAACGGACGAGAAGCUUGCUUCUCUGCUGUUAGCGGCGGACGGGUGAGUAACACGUGGCUAACCUACCUAUAAGACUGGGAUAACUUCGGGAAACCGGAGCUAAUACCGGAUAAUAUUUUGAACCGCAUGGUUCAACAGUGAAAGCCGGUCUUGCUGUCACUUAUAGAUGGAUCCGCGCUGCAUUAGCUAGUUGGUAAGGUAACGGCUUACCAAGGCAACGAUGCAUAGCCGACCUGAGAGGGUGAUCGGCCACACUGGAACUGAGACACGGUCCAGACUCCUACGGGAGGCAGCAGUAGGGAAUCUUCCGCAAUGGGCGAAAGCCUGACGGAGCAACGCCGCGUGAGUGAUGAAGGUCUUCGGAUCGGAAAACUCUGUUACGAGGGAAGAACAUGUAUGUAGGUAACUGUGCACAGCUUGACGGUACCUAAUCAGAAAGCCACGGCUAACUACGGG